GAGCCAAAGAUCAGUUUUCAAAGGAGAGAGAGGGAGAGGGAGACGCGGGCUGCCGGGCGGGAGGCGGACGGGAGGCCGCGGCGGACGGGCGGCGGGAGCACCGGGGGGCGGGGGGAGCACCGGGGGGGGGGGGAGACCGGGGGGCGGGGAGGGCACCGGGGGGGGGAGGAACACGGGGGACGGAGGGGGGCACCGGGGGGGCACCGGGGGGCGGGAGGGGCACGGGGGGGAGCACCGGGGGACGGCGGGAGCACGGAGGGGGGCACGGGGGGGGCACCGGGGGGCGGGAAGGGCACGGGGGGGAGCACCGGGGGACGGCGGGAGCACGGAGGGGGGCACGGGGCGGCACCGGGGGGCGGCGGGAGCACCGGGGAUAGCACGGGGGGGAGCGGGAGCACCGGAGGGGCGGCGGGAGCACCGGGGAUAGCACGGGGGGGAGCGGGAGCACCGGAGGGGCGGCGGGAGCACGGGGGGAGCACCGGGGGGCCGCGGGAGCACCGAGGGGAGCACCGGGGGGAGCACCGGGGGGAGCACUGGGGGGGCGGCGGGAGCACCGGGGGGCCGGGCCGCGGAGCCGCAGGGGGAGCGCGGCCGGGCGGCGGGAGCACCGGGGGGGGGGGCUGCGGCGGGGAGGGCUCCGAGGCCGCCCGCCGCCCGGGUCGGCUCGGGUUACACGGCCGGGCGCGGCCCGCGGGGAGCCCGGAGCGCCCCCGCCCCCCCUCCGGCCGCCCCCGCCGCCCCCGCCGCGGAAGGGACGCUCCGCCGGGGGCGGGGGCUCCGAGCCGGCCUGAGCGCCGCCGGGGGCCCGCACCCGCGCCCGCACCCGCACCCGCGCCCCCCCCUGCACCCCGCGCGCGGACGAGCCCUGGCCCGGGCCGGGCCCUCCCCCGCGCUCUCCCCUGGGCCCCCGGGCCCCGCCAGAAAAUGACUUUAUCCGCAGAGAAGCGGCAACUUCGGGGUCGGGGGGGAUCCGAAAUAAGCGGCCCCCCCGCCUCGGGAGGGAGCCGGCUCGGGGCGUCUCGGUGUGCGGUCCCCCCCCCCACCCCCACCCCCACCCCCACCCCGGGCUGCGCGGGGGAAGCGGCGCCUGGGGCCCCGGUGCGGCGGCCGCGGCUGCGCCUGCAGAGACCCGGCUCCCGCCGGCCCCACCCCCUUGUGGGGAGCGAGCGGGGGACCCCGGGGUGGGAAGAGAGUAGGGGCUUUGUGGCGCCGGGAGCCGGGGAAGAAUGA
rnacentral:lncRNA from 1 species